GUAGUGGGGGAUAACGUCCGGAAACGGGCGCUAAUACCGCAUACGUCCUGAGGGAGAAAGUGGGGGAUCUUCGGACCUCACGCUAUCAGAUGAGCCUAGGUCGGAUUAGCUAGUUGGUGGGGUAAAGGCCUACCAAGGCGACGAUCCGUAACUGGUCUGAGAGGAUGAUCAGUCACACUGGAACUGAGACACGGUCCAGACUCCUACGGGAGGCAGCAGUGGGGAAUAUUGGACAAUGGGCGAAAGCCUGAUCCAGCCAUGCCGCGUGUGUGAAGAAGGUCUUCGGAUUGUAAAGCACUUUAAGUUGGGAGGAAGGGCAGUAAGUUAAUACCUUGCUGUUUUGACGUUACCAACAGAAUAAGCACCGGCUAACUUCGUGCCAGCAGCCGCGGUAAUACGAAGGGUGCAAGCGUUAAUCGGAAUUACUGGGCGUAAAGCGCGCGUAGGUGGUUCAGCAAGUUGGAUGUGAAAUCCCCGGGCUCAACCUGGGAACUGCAUCCAAAACUAUUGAGCUAGAGUACGGUAGAGGGUGGUGGAAUUUCCUGUGUAGCGGUGAAAUGCGUAGAUAUAGGAAGGAACACCAGUGGCGAAGGCGACCACCUGGACUGAUACUGACACUGAGGUGCGAAAGCGUGGGGAGCAAACAGGAUUAGAUANCCUGGUAGUCCACGCCGUAAACGAUGUCGACUAGCCGUUGGGAUCCUUGAGAUCUUAGUGGCGCAGCUAACGCGAUAAGUCGA
rnacentral:rRNA from 1 species